AUUGAACGCUGGCGGCAGGCCUAACACAUGCAAGUCGAACGAGUGGCGGACGGGUGAGUAAUGCUUGGGAAUCUAGCUUAUGGAGGGGGAUAACUACGGGAAACUGUAGCUAAUACCGCGUACCAUAGGAUGAUCCCCAGUGGGAUUAGGUAGUUGGUGAGGUAAAGGCUCACCAAGCCGACUAUCGCUAGCUGGUCUGAGAGGAUGACCAGCCACACGGGGAGUGAGAAACGGCCAAGACUCCUACGGGAGGCAGCAGUGGGGAAGAUUGCACAAUGGGCGCAAGCCUGAUGCAGCCAUGCCGCGUGUAUGAAGAAGGCCUUAGGGUUGGAAAGUACGUUCAGCGGGGAGGCGUUACCCGCAGAAGAAGCACCGGCUAACUCCGUGCCAGCCACCGCGGUAAUUC
rnacentral:rRNA from 1 species